rnacentral:sRNA from 1 species
UUUAUAAAUCUUAUGUUUACAAUAUCAGUGAACAACUGUGAAGAUUUUAUUUUUUUGUUUGAAUAUGUGGAAGUUCAAAUCCAAAGAUUCUACAUUUUUUUUAGAGGCGGGACCCAUACCUAAUUAAAUUUAUCUAUUUUUGGAGAAAAUAUCCCUCCCACCUCGAAUCAGCACAUCUACCUAGGAGAUUUACCAUUGGGCCAACAGCUCGUUGGUAACAACUAUGAAGAUUAGUGAUGCUGAUUGAGGUAAAAGAAGUUAAAGAUUUCAUUUGAUGUCUGAUACAAAUUUCAAAGUCUUCGAAACCCUCUAGGAGUUCGCGUUUUUGGUUGCCGUGAGUUUUCUUUUUCUAUUUUUGUAGUUUCCUAGCAAGUGAGUGGU